ACAUGAGAUGCUCUCUUCAGUCCGGGGCUUGGUUGAACGGACUCACCAGGAAACGUGACUUUCGUGUCCGACCUCUGCUGUAUCAGGAUUCGAUUCUUGGUGUUAAACAAGACAACGCUGAAGGCUCGGUGCAGCAGCCCUGGAAAGGUAAUCUUAGCAUCUGAUCUUUGCUGUAGCAGAAGCUUAUUUUCGGUGUUGAAUAAGAAGACACUAAAAGCUCGAUGCAAUAAUCCUUUCUCAAUGUUCUCGUUCAGGUGACAAUUCUUCUUGGUCUCAGCUCCAAUUUUAUUGUCAUUUUCAUCAAUAAGGAUACACAUCUCUGCCAGGAGUUGAACCUGUUGCUUGUCGAGGUGGUUAGUGUUUAUUUCAGGCAUCAUUACAAAAUGUCUGAUCUGUUCUAGAACACUAAUAUUAAAGGAAAAGAGAAAGAAAGGC
rnacentral:lncRNA from 1 species